GAUGAACGCUGGCGGCGUGCUUAACACAUGCAAGUCGAACGGUGAACGAGGGAGCUUGCUCCCUCCGGAUCAGUGGCGAACGGGUGAGUAACACGUGAGCAAUCUGCCCUGGACUCUGGGAUAAGCGUUGGAAACGACGUCUAAUACCGGAUACGAGGCGUGGGGGCAUCCCCAACGCCUGGAAAGAACUUCGGUCCAGGAUGAGCUCGCGGCCUAUCAGCUAGUUGGUGAGGUAACGGCUCACCAAGGCGACGACGGGUAGCCGGCCUGAGAGGGUGGACGGCCACACGGGGACUGAGACACGGCCCAGACUCCUACGGGAGGCAGCAGUGGGGAAUAUUGCACAAUGGGCGGAAGCCUGAUGCAGCAACGCCGCGUGAGGGACGACGGCCUUCGGGUUGUAAACCUCUUUUAGCAGGGAAGAAGCGAAAGUGACGGUACCUGCAGAAAAAGCACCGGCUAACUACGUGCCAGCAGCCGCGGUAACAC
rnacentral:rRNA from 1 species